rnacentral:rRNA from 1 species
GCAAGUCCCUUUACUGACGCUAAAGCUCGAAAGUGCGGGUAUCGAACAGGAUUAGAUACCCUGGUAGUCCGCACGGUAAACGAUGGAUGCCCGCUGUCGGCGAUAUAUUGUCGGCGGCCAAGCGAAAGCGUUAAGCAUCCCACCUGGGGAGUACGCCGGCAACGGUGAAACUCAAAGGAAUUGACGGGGGCCCGCACAAGCGGAGGAACAUGUGGUUUAAUUCGAUGAUACGCGAGGAACCUUACCCGGGCUUGAACUGCAGGAGAAGGCGGCAGAGAUGCCAACGUCCUUCGGGACUCCUGUGGAGGUGCUGCAUGGUUGUCGUCAGCUCGUGCCGUGAGGUGUCGGCUUAAGUGCCAUAACGAGCGCAACCCCUGCUGUCAGUUGCCAUCGGGUGAUGCCGGGCACUCUGUCAGGACUGCCACCGUAAGGUGUGAGGAAGGUGGGGAUGACGUCAAAUCAGCACGGCCCUUACGUCCGGGGCUACACACGUGUUACAAUGGGUGGUACAGAGAGCCGGGUGCACGCAAGUGCACUCCAAUCAUUAAAGCCAUCCUCAGUUCGGAUUGGGGUCUGCAACCCGACCCCAUGAAGCUGGAU